rnacentral:rRNA from 1 species
UAGGGAAUCUUCCGCAAUGGACGCAAGUCUGACGGAGCAACGCCGCGUGAGUGAAGAAGGAUUUCGGUUCGUAAAACUCUGUUGUUAGAGAAGAACAGCGCAUAGAGUAACUGUUAUGCGUGUGACGGUAUCUAACCAGAAAGCCACGGCUAACUACGUGCCAGCAGCCGCGGUAAUACGUAGGUGGCAAGCGUUGUCCGGAUUUAUUGGGCGUAAAGCGAGCGCAGGCGGUCAAUUAAGUCUGAUGUGAAAGCCCCCGGCUCAACCGGGGAGGGUCAUUGGAAACUGGUUGACUUGAAUGCAGAAGAGGAGAGUGGAAUUACAUGUGUAGAGGUGAAAUGCGUAGAUAUAUGGAGGAACACCAGUGACGAAGGCGACUCUCUGGUCUGUAACUGACGCUGAGGCUCGAAAGCGUGGGUAGCAAACAGG